AUUGAACGCUGGCGGCAGGCCUAACACAUGCAAGUCGAACGAGUGGCGGACGGGUGAGUAAUGUCUGGGAAACUGCCUGAUGGAGGGGGAUAACUACUGGAAACGGUAGCUAAUACCGCAUACCAUCGGAUGUGCCCAGAUGGGAUUGGCUAGUAGGUGGGGUAACGGCCAACAUAGGCGACAAUCCCUAGCUGGGCUGAGAGGAUGACCUGCCACACUGGAACUGAGACACGGUCCAGACUCCUACGGUAGGCAGCAGGGGGGAAUAUUGCACAAGGGUCGCAAGCCUGAUGCAGCCAUGCCGCGUGUAUGAAGAAGGCCGUCGGGUUGUAAAGUACUUUCAGCGGGGAGGCGUUACCCGCAGAAGAAGCACCGGCUAACUCCGUGCCAGCCGCCGCGGUAAUUC
rnacentral:rRNA from 1 species